rnacentral:rRNA from 1 species
CCUGGCUCAGAACGAACGCUGGCGGCGUGCUUAACACAUGCAAGUCGAACGCGAAAGGGACUUCGGUCCUGAGUAAAGUGGCGCACGGGUGAGUAACGCGUAGAUAACCUGUCUUCAUGUCUGGAAUAAUACGCCGAAAGGGGUACUAAUACCGGAUAUUCUUGCUUUUCAUAAGUUAUGCAAGCAAAGGUGGCCUCUGCAUAUGCUACUGCAUGAAGAGGGGUCUGCGUACCAUUAGCUAGUAGGUGGGGUAAUGGCCUACCUAGGCGACGAUGGUUAGCGGGUCUGAGAGGAUGAUCCGCCACACUGGCACUGGAACACGGGCCAGACUCCUACGGGAGGCAGCAGUGAGGAAUAUUGCGCAAUGGGGGAAACCCUGACGCAGCGACGCCGCGUGAGUGAGGAAGGCCUUCGGGUCGUAAAGCUCUGUCAAGAGGAAAGAAGUGUACAAUGGCUAAUACCUGUUGUAUUUGACGGUACCUCUAAAGGAAGCACCGGCUAACUCCGUGCCAGCCGCGGC